UGUUACCUGAAAUGAGCGGAUUAACCUAUAAUUUUGAACCUACAUCCGAUAUACGGGAGCCUCAAGUUUGGAUAUUAAUGUCAGGCCUCAAUUUAAUUCCGACACUAAAUACUAAUUUAGUGCAACGGCGGAGGAAGGCAAAGGUAUUCAUCUGGGCACCCACCUAGCUGAGGCUAGGUGUCAAAAUAUAGGGGAACGCCAUUUUGGGGCUAAA
rnacentral:other from 1 species